CACGCAGCUCCAGUUGGUCCUCACGGAUGUCCUGAAGACGGAACAGGGGCAGGCCUACCUAGACAGGAAGAUGCGUGGCAAGAUGACAGGAACUGGAGAGAGGAAGAGAGAGUCACCGAUGGGGAGCGGGCAAAGGAGGGUGUCUCAGAGUAGCAGAGAGGGGAGGGAGGAUUGUAGAGAUUUUAUAGCACACAGAAAGAGACCCCAUGACCACCCCACUCCCACCUCGACCCCGACCCGCAAGGAGAGGAGGUAAUGCUUGGUUAAAUGUUGCUGAAUUCAGCUUGGCUGUUGGAGAGGGGACGCUGUAUGCAGAUGAAUUUCUGUAGAUGAUUACAGUGGAGUCUGUUAAGUGUAGGGAACAUGUCUUCCUUUUUAGGAUGCCAGUGAACGAUUUAAGAGUUAAAACACAGCACAAGGUCAGCAUGCAGUGGAAUAAUUGUUUUUCUAUUACUUUUUCUUUCUCUCUUGUUUAGGUCACACCACAGAAGGGGGUCAGAGGAAGACGAGGAGGUGAAGGAACUUUUAAUAGGAGAGGAAAACAUCAAAGACCAGAGAUGCAACAGUAGUGUGUCAGGGAGGCACAGUUCACGGGAACCCCUGGAGGAGGUGACCUUUACUGAGGGGGACAUGCACCAGGAAAAGCCUUACCCACAAUCCACCAGGACUAGGAAGGCAGAUUCAGGUUCAAGCGAAUCCACACAUGUUGAGAGGGAGAGUUGGAGGAGGGAGUCUGGGCUCUACAGUAAUGGACAGGUGAAGGAUGGAGGGAUGAAUGAUGGAGUGGCAGAGGGCUUGACCACAGACGCCUCCAGGAGCUCCAGAGGGAGCGUGCUGCACCUCUCCAGGGAGGCCAGAGGCGGGGGAGGACUGCCCCCCAAACAGCUGUGUCUGGGGGGGACGGGGGGCAUAGACACUAAUGUAGCAUCCAUAGAAGUAGAGGUGGACCCCUCAAACUUUGACGGGACCCCGAUGGUAGUCACUGUGGGGGAAGACAGGGAAGUUGCCAUCUCCUCUAACCCCAGCUGUGGAGGGGUUAAUGAGAGGAGAGGAACCCUGUCCUCCAGCCAGGAUAGGACGCCCAAACUCAGUCCUGUUGAACCCAUCGUUCUCUCCAGUGAGAGGAGGUAG
rnacentral:lncRNA from 1 species